rnacentral:rRNA from 1 species
UAGGGAAUCUUCGGCAAUGGGGGCAACCCUGACCGAGCAACGCCGCGUGAGUGAAGAAGGUUUUCGGAUCGUAAAGCUCUGUUGUAAGAGAAGAACGUGUGUGAGAGUGGAAAGUUCACACAGUGACGGUAACUUACCAGAAAGGGACGGCUAACUACGUGCCAGCAGCCGCGGUAAUACGUAGGUCCCGAGCGUUGUCCGGAUUUAAUUGGCGUAAAGCGAGCGCAGGCGGUUUAAUAAGUCUGAAGUUAAAGGCAGUGGCUUAACCAUUGUUCGCUUUGGAAACUGUUAAACUUGAGUGCAGAAGGGGAGAGUGGAAUUCCAUGUGUAGCGGUGAAAUGCGUAGAUAUAUGGAGGAACACCGGUGGCGAAAGCGGCUCUCUGGUCUGUAACUGACGCUGAGGCUCGAAAGCGUGGGGAGCAAACAGG